rnacentral:piRNA from 1 species
UGGUGUCCUCAAAUUGAAAGCCAAGAA